UACGGAGGGGGCUAGCGUUGUUCGGAAUUACUGGGCGUAAAGCGCACGUAGGCGGACUGUUAAGUCGGGGGGUGAAAUCCUGGGGCUCAACCUCAGAAUUGCCUCCGAUACUGGCAGUCUCGAGUGCGGGAGAGGUGAGUGGAAUUCCCAGUGUAGAGGUGAAAUUCGUAGAUAUUGGGAAGAACACCAGUGGCGAAGGCGGCUCACUGGCCCGUAACUGACGCUGAGACGCGAAAGCGUGGGGAGCGAACAGG
rnacentral:rRNA from 1 species